rnacentral:rRNA from 1 species
GACGAACGCUGGCGGCGUGCUUAACACAUGCAAGUCGAACGGUAAGGCCCUUCGGGGUACACGAGUGGCGAACGGGUGAGUAACACGUGGGUGAUCUGCCCUGCACUUCGGGAUAAGCCUGGGAAACUGGGUCUAAUACCGGAUAGGACUCCUGGCUUCAUGGUUGGGGGUGGAAAGCUUUUGCGGGGUGGGAUGGGCCCGCGGCCUAUCAGCUUGUUGGUGGGGUAAUGGCCUACCAAGGCGACGACGGGUAGCCGGCCUGAGAGGGUGACCGGUCACACUGGGACUGGGAUACGGCCCAGACUCCUACGGGAGGCAGCAGUGGGGAAUAUUGCACAAUGGGCGCAAGCCUGAUGCAGCGACGCCGCGUGAGGGAUGACGGCCUUCGGGUUGUAAACCUCUUUCAGCUAUGACGAAGCGCAAGUGACGGUAGUAGCAGAAGAAGGACCGGCCAACUACGUGCCAGCAGCCGCGGUAA